rfam:Erwinia mallotivora strain BT-MARDI contig_29, whole genome shotgun sequence.
CCCCGUAGCCAUGCUGCGGGGGUAUCUUUCUGACUGCAACAAGGGGUCUGCCCGUG